GACGUAGGAGGCGAGCGUUAUCCGGAGUUACUGGGCGUAAAGCGCGUGCAGGCGGCAGGACAAGUGGCGGGGGAAAGCGCCCGGCUCAACCGGGCGAGUGCCGGUCAGACUGUUCUGCUGGAGUACCGGUGAGGGACGUGGAAUUCCGGGUGUAGCGGUGAAAUGUGCAGAGAUCCGGAGGAACACCAGCGGCGCAAGCGGCGUCCUAGACGGAAACUGACGCUGAAACGCGACAGCGUGGGGAGCGAACGGG
rnacentral:rRNA from 1 species